ensembl:lncRNA
AUGGGAGCAUCUCAAAUAAUUGCCCUGGCUCGAGCAGUAGCUAAGCAUGGGGUGUCUAGCUGUCCCCUGAGCAAAGCCAUGCGUGGCUUUAUUAGCAGCUGGUGGCUGUUUUGUUCUGAGGCUGGUGGCUCAGCCUGCCCCGAGACUGAGCGUGGGGAGCUAGCUGUGAGUUUAUCUUCUCCCUGCCUUCCCUUCCAGCACGUGUUGCAAGCACAAGUAAUGCUCAAGCCUUUCCUAGUUGCUUUUUCUUUCCCCAAAGGAGGUGUGAUUGCUUUGCGCCCCGAGCAAGCCGGGCUGUUGUGUUUUUCACUGGCCCGAUGGCUGCAGUGGUUGUCGCGCGUGGCUUCCCUGGGGCUGCUGCGGCUGGUUGCUGGCCCUGCAGGGAGCUCGGCACAGCGAGGAGCCAAGCGGAGCAAAGAGGCGCCUUUCAGCCUUCUUCGGGGCCUUCGCACAAGGCCCCGUCCUCCCGGCGGCUUCGCAGCCGACGUCCUGUUUGGUUUGAGCCUGAGCCAGUGCCCUGAUGAAUGCAGCUCUUGUCAGCACCCUCCGGCCCUGGAUGGGGCUCUGGUCCUCCGCUUUGCUAAUGAAAGGCGCUGGUGUGUGGCUGCGGGGCUGGGGGCCAGGGAGGAGGGGGCACGCCGCGCUACCAGGUCGGCAGAGGAGGAGGUAAGCGUCGAGUCCUGGGCAGGGAACGGCCGCUUGCUCCUCUCCGAGCCCUGCUGCUCUCAGGGCUGGUGGCCACGUGAGAAGAUGGGCUGGGAACAGGUACCUGAUGGGCUCCUUGGAUGAGCUUCUAGCUAUAAACCAGGGCGCAGUGCUCUCCCCGGGAGGGGGCUGCUUCCUCCUCCUCCCCGUGCCAUCACCUGCCCUGUGCUGACUCCAGACCAGCAGCGCUGCCACCCCUCGCUGGUCCUGAGCAGCUCUCGUGCCCUCCUCCUCCUCCUCGGCUGCUCUUCCUGGGGCUUUUCUGAUGUGAACGGCUUUGAUCUGAGCUCCUUCUCAGAUGCAGUGCUGGGAGAGGCGGCUGUGUUAAGGCUUUCAGGGGAUUUGCGAGGGCAAGAUCUGCUCAUCUUUCACUGUCCUGUGGUUAAAAUUCAUCUCUGACCCUCAGUGGCUGCUGUUCUUUCUCCCUGACUGCCUGACAGAGUGAGGAUUAGGUAGUCAGCUCCAUCUGGGCCUCUGCUAGGGUUCCUUGCAUCUUUUAGGCUGUUUUCUCUGGCUAGAGCAGAGGACAGAACUGGGGGUACUGGUCCAGCGGAAGGAGAACCCAGGUUUGGGAUGCAGGGAGGAUGGAGAAGGACGGUUCCUUGGCCUCUGUGCCAAGAGGCCUGUUCACAUCAGGGCUGCCGCUCCACGCCUCCUAACAGAGAGCUGUGCAGCCAGUGCCUGUGCCCAAAAGCUUCCCCCUGUCCCUCGCCGUGUGCCACGAGGGACCCAGGAGCUCUGCUGUUAAACACGUCUUUAUUUCUCUGCAUACGCAUUUCAGCCAGCCCCUGGCAGGGGCCUCCUGCUGUGAUGGCCUCCGGCUGCGUUACCCGCACUCUCCUGCCUGUCCCCCCUGCUUGCGCUGCUUCCCCUCCAGCCGAUGCCACCCCAGGAGCUCCCCAGUGCCCCGCUGCAGGUGCGCGGGGCUGGCCGUGGAGCCCCUCUCCGGCUGCACUGCCCCGCAGAAGUAAAGGCUAAGGCUGAAGCAGAGCAAGGCACGUCCUACCUGCAUCCAAACCUCUGCAGUGUGCUUAGGGCAAAGGGACAAAGGGAAUUCUUCCUUGCUGUCACCACCCCCCCUUCC